GACGAACGCUGGCGGCGUGCCUAAUACAUGCAAGUUGAGCGAUGAAGAUUGGUGCUUGCACCAAUUUGCAGAGCAGCGAACGGGUGAGUAACGCGUGGGGAAUCUGCCUUUGAGCGGGGGACAACAUUUGGAAACGAAUGCUAAUACCGCAUAACAACUUUAAACAUAAGUUUUAAGUUUGAAAGAUGCAAUUGCAUCACUCAAAGAUGAUCCCGCGUUGUAUUAGCUAGUUGGUGAGGUAAAGGCUCACCAAGGCGAUGAUACAUAGCCGACCUGAGAGGGUGAUCGGCCACAUUGGGACUGAGACACGGCCCAAACUCCUACGGGAGGCAGCAGUAGGGAAUCUUCGGCAAUGGACGAAAGUCUGACCGAGCAACGCCGCGUGAGUGAAGAAGGUUUUCGGAUCGUAAAACUCUGUUGGUAGAGAAGAACGUUGGUGAGAGUGGAAAGCUCAUCAAGUGACGGUAACUACCCAGAAAGGGACGGCUAACUACGU
rnacentral:rRNA from 1 species